rnacentral:rRNA from 1 species
AUGAAUGCAGCAAAAUCUGUAGCCGUUUCCAGCAAAAAUCACCGCCGGUACCAGCAAGAAAGAAAAACGGUUGUAGCACUCGUGUUCCAGAGAAAAGAAAAGUCACCGUUCACCGCAUGCAGCUCCCCCGGAGGCCCGAUUGCAGCUCCCCGCCAUCCAUGGUUGCAGCUCGCGUUUCGGCUGCAGCUCCCAUGGACGCCGGUUGUAGCUCCCACGAAAGCGGGUUGCAGCUCCUGCCAUCCAUGGUUGCCGCUCGCCGCUCCAGCCGUCGGGGGAGAAGAGGAUGCAGUUCCACAUCCAUGGACGCAACUGCCGCUUGCAUCAGCUCUGGCGUCCUCAAAAGUGCAGUCGCCGGUGCUUGUAUUUUGGACUCAGAGAGGGGACGGCGGCGGGGAUGAACUGGAUUAG